rnacentral:rRNA from 1 species
AGGCCCAUUCUAGCUCCAACCACCACAAUCAAAAACCCACUAGCCCCACUAACUAAAACAUUACCCCUAACCUAGUAUAGGCGAUAGAAAAGUGCAACCUCCGGACGCCAUAGAUAGAAGUACCGCAAGGGAAAGAUGAAAUAGCAAUGACAACCCAAGCACCAAAUAGCAAAGAUAAACCCUUGUACCUUUUGCAUCAUGAUCUAGCAAGAACGAUCAGACAAAGAGACCUUAAGCCUGCCACCCCGAAACCCAAGCGAGCUACUUACAAGCAGCUACCCUGAGCCAACCCAUCUCUGUUGCAAAAGAGUGGGAAGACUUGUUAGUAGAGGUGAAAAGCCAACACGAGCUGGGUGAUAGCUGGUUGCCUGUAAAACGAAUCUAAGUUCUCCCCUAGCCCCUUCCACCCAAACCAAACCAACCUAAAUUCCCAUGUAACGGACUAGGAGUUACUUAAAGGAGGUACAGCUCCUUUAACAAAGAACACAACCUCCACCAGCGGAUAAGACACACCCCCCCCCCCCCCCCCAACCUGUAGGCCCUAAAGCAGCCACCACCCAAGAGUGCGUCAAAGCUCCAAACCAAAAAUCCAAUAACAACACGAAUCCCUACACCCCUAACAGGCCAAUCUAUAACAAUAGAUGAACUAAUGCUAGAACGAGUAACCAGGAUACCACAUCCCCUUAAGCGCUAGCCCAUACACCACUAACAGCACAACCACAAUACCACCCCCUAGACCAAAUAUUGUAUACACCCUGUCAACCCAACCCAGGAGCGCACACUAGGACGAUCAAACUCUGCAAAAGGAACUCGGCAAACCCAAGGCCCGACUGUUUACCAAAAACAUAGCCUUCAGCCAAACAAGUAUUGAAGGUGAUGCCUGCCCAGUGACAUUACGUUCAACGGCCGCGGUAUCCUAACCGUGCAAAGGUAGCGCAAUCAAUUGUCCCAUAAAUCGAGACUUGUAUGAACGGCCAAACGAGGUCUUAGCUGUCUCCUGCAGACAAUCAGUGAAACUGAUCUCCCUGUGCAAAAGCAGGGAUAAAUACAUAAGACAAGAAGACCCUGUGGAACUUAAAAAUCAAUAGCCACUCUACACCACCUCACAAACCCACCAGGCCCACCACCCAAAAUGCUGGCUAACAUUUUUAGGUUGGGGCGACCCUGGAGAAAAACAAACCCUCCAAAAACAAGGCCAAACCCCUUAACCAAGAGCAACCCCUCAACGUACUAACAGUACCCAGACCCAAUAAAAUUGAUCAAUGGACCAAGCUACCCCAGGGAUAACAGCGCAAUCUCCCCCAAGAGCCCAUAUCGACGAGGAGGUUUACGACCUCGAUGUUGGAUCAGGACAUCCUAGUGGUGCAACCGCUACUAAGGGUUCGUUUGUUCAACGAUUAACAGUCCUACGUGAUCUGAGUUCAGACCGGAGCAAUCCAGGUCGGUUUCUAUCUAUGACCAAUCCUUCCUAGUACGAAAGGACCGGAAAGAUAGGGCCAAUACCCCUAGCACGCCCUCCCCUUAAGUGAUGCCCACAACUAAAUCACCAAAGGGCCACGCUUUGCCCCCCCAGAAAAUGGUU